UUGAACGCUGGCGGCAGGCCUAACACAUGCAAGUCGAGCGGCAGCACAAGGGAGUUUACUUCCUGAGGUGGCGAGCGGCGGACGGGUGAGUAAUGCCUAGGGAUCUGCCCAGUCGAGGGGGAUAACAGUUGGAAACGACUGCUAAUACCGCAUACGCCCUACGGGGGAAAGAGGGGGACCUUCGGGCCUCUCGCGAUUGGAUGAACCUAGGUGGGAUUAGCUAGUUGGUGAGGUAAUGGCUCACCAAGGCGACGAUCCCUAGCUGUUCUGACAGGAUGAUCAGCCACACUGGGACUGAGACACGGCCCAGACUCCUACGGGAGGCAGCAGUGGGGAAUAUUGCACAAUGGGGGAAACCCUGAUGCAGCCAUGCCGCGUGUGUGAAGAAGGCCUUCGGGUUGUAAAGCACUUUCAGUAGGGAGGAAAGGGUG
rnacentral:rRNA from 1 species